AGAGUUUGAUCCUGGCUCAGGACGAACGCUGGCGGCGCGCCUAACACAUGCAAGUCGAACGAGCGAGAGAGAGCUUGCUUUCUCAAGCGAGUGGCGAACGGGUGAGUAACGCGUGAGGAACCUGCCUCAAAGAGGGGGACAACAGUUGGAAACGACUGCUAAUACCGCAUAAGCCCACAGCUCGGCAUCGAGCAGAGGGAAAAGGAGCAAUCCGCUUUGAGAUGGCCUCGCGUCCGAUUAGCUAGUUGGUGAGGUAACGGCCCACCAAGGCGACGAUCGGUAGCCGGACUGAGAGGUUGAACGGCCACAUUGGGACUGAGACACGGCCCAGACUCCUACGGGAGGCAGCAGUGGGGAAUAUUGCACAAUGGGGGAAACCCUGAUGCAGCGACGCCGCGUGGAGGAAGAAGGUCUUCGGAUUGUAAACUCCUGUUGUUGAGGAAGAUAAUGACGGUACUCAACAAGGAAGUGACGGCUAACUACGUGCCAGCAGCCGCGGUAAAACGUAGGUCACAAGCGUUGUCCGGAAUUACUGGGUGUAAAGGGAGCGCAGGCGGGAAGACAAGUUGGAAGUGAAAUCUAUGGGCUCAACCCAUAAACUGCUUUCAAAACUGUUUUCUUGAGUAGUGCAGAGGUAGGCGGAAUUCCCGGUGUAGCGGUGGAAUGCGUAGAUAUCGGGAGGAACACCAGUGGCGAAGGCGGCCUACUGGGCACCAACUGACGCUGAGGCUCGAAAGUGUGGGUAGCAAACAGGAUUAGAUACCCUGGUAGUCCACACCGUAAACGAUGAUUACUAGGUGUUGGAGGAUUGACCCCUUCAGUGCCGCAGUUAACACAAUAAGUAAUCCACCUGGGGAGUACGACCGCAAGGUUGAAACUCAAAGGAAUUGACGGGGGCCCGCACAAGCAGUGGAGUAUGUGGUUUAAUUCGACGCAACGCGAAGAACCUUACCAAGUCUUGACAUCCCUUGACGAACAUAGAAAUAUGUUUUCUCUUCGGAGCAAGGAGACAGGUGGUGCAUGGUUGUCGUCAGCUCGUGUCGUGAGAUGUUGGGUUAAGUCCCGCAACGAGCGCAACCCUUACUGUCAGUUACUACGCAAGAGGACUCUGGCAGGACUGCCGUUGACAAAACGGAGGAAGGUGGGGAUGACGUCAAAUCAUCAUGCCCUUUAUGACUUGGGCUACACACGUACUACAAUGGCGUUAAACAAAGAGAAGCAAGACCGCGAGGUGGAGCAAAACUCAGAAACAACGUCCCAGUUCGGACUGCAGGCUGCAACUCGCCUGCACGAAGUCGGAAUUGCUAGUAAUCGUGGAUCAGCAUGCCACGGUGAAUACGUUCCCGGGCCUGUACACACCGCCCGUC
rnacentral:rRNA from 1 species